UAAGUGGAACAAAUGAUCGCGGCUGCACAGACGAAAGGGUGCAGGUGAGGAAAGUCCGGGCUCCACAGGGCAGGAUGCCGGAUAACAUCCGGUGGAGGUGACUCCAAGGCCAGUGCAACAGAAAUAAUACCGCCCCGGCGAUACGCCGAGGUGAGGGUGGAAUGGCAGUGUAAGAGACUACCGCCGUCACGGUAACGGGACGGGCUGUGUAAACCCCAUCCGGAGCAAGACCAAGCAGAGAGCAAUGACCGGCCCGGUCCGCUCUCAGGUAGGUCGCUGGAGGGUUUCGGCGACGAAACUCCUAGAUAGAUGAUCAUUCAAGACAUAACCCGGCUUAUCGUUCUGCUUACCAG
rnacentral:RNase_P_RNA from 1 species